GACGAACGCUGGCGGCGUGCUUAACACAUGCAAGUCGAACGGGCCCGCCCCUGUUUUUGGGGGUGGGUUGAGUGGCGAACGGGUGAGUAUCACGUGGGUAACCUGCCCCCUGCUCCUGGAUAACUGCUUGAAAGGGCGGCUAAUACGGGGUGUGCCGGCUGGUCCGCAUGGGCCUGGUCGGGAUAGUUUCAUCUUCGGGUGUUUCGGUGGGGGAUGGGCUCGCGGCCUAUCAGCUUGUUGGGGGGGUGAUGGCCCACCAAGGCGGUGACGGGUAGCCGGCCUGAGAGGGUGGGCGGCCACACUGGGACUGAGACACGGCCCAGACUCCUGCGGGAGGCAGCAGUGGGGGGUAUUGCACAAUGGGCGGAAGCCUGAUGCAGCGACGUCGCGUGAGGGAUGGAGGCCUUCGGGUUGUGAACCUCUUUCUCCGGUGGUGAAGGCCCUGUCCGUUGCGGCGGGGUUGACGGUAGCCGGGUAUGAAGCGCCGGCUAACUACGUG
rnacentral:rRNA from 1 species